rnacentral:rRNA from 1 species
UACGAAGGGGGCUAGCGUUGCUCGGAAUUACUGGGCGUAAAGCGCACGUAGGCGGACUCUUAAGUCAGGGGUGAAAUCCUGGAGCUCAACUCCAGAACUGCCUUUGAUACUGAGAGCCUUGAGUUCGGGAGAGGUGAGUGGAACUGCGAGUGUAGAGGUGAAAUUCGUAGAUAUUCGCAAGAACACCAGUGGCGAAGGCGGCUCACUGGCCCGAUACUGACGCUGAGGUGCGAAAGCGUGGGGAGCAAACAGG